rfam:Ornithorhynchus anatinus chromosome 2, whole genome shotgun sequence.
CCCCUCUUAGGGUCUUACCUGGAGAGUUUCUAGUACUCUACCAGUCUCGACUACGGGAGGGAGGGUCAAGCAGAGAUAUAUCCAUGCCAUUCCUAGCUUGGGCAGUGGCUAGCAUUUGGAAGACAAUCUGCUACAAGU